rnacentral:rRNA from 1 species
AUUGAACGCUGGCGGCAUGCCUUACACAUGCAAGUCGAACGGUAACAGAUCUUCGGAUGCUGACGAGUGGCGAACGGGUGAGUAAUACAUCGGAACGUGCCUAGUAGUGGGGGAUAACUACUCGAAAGAGUGGCUAAUACCGCAUGAGAUCUACGGAUGAAAGCAGGGGAUCGCAAGACCUUGUGCUACUAGAGCGGCCGAUGGCAGAUUAGGUAGUUGGUGGGAUAAAAGCUUACCAAGCCGACGAUCUGUAGCUGGUCUGAGAGGACGAUCAGCCACACUGGGACUGAGACACGGCCCAGACUCCUACGGGGGGCAGCAGUGGGGAAUUUUGGACAAUGGGCGCAAGCCUGAUCCAGCAAUGCCGCGUGCAGGAUGAAGGCCUUCGGGUUGUAAACUGCUUUUGUACUGAACGAAAAGCCCUGGGUUAAUACCCUGGGGUCAUGACGGUACCGUAAGAAUAAGCACCGGCUAACUACGUGCCAGCCGCCGCUGUAACAC